ACAACGCCUGUGAAGAAUUCGAAGACGACGCCGCCGUCGCUGGAGGUGUUGGCGCCGGCGCCGGGAAAAUUGACAAGCUCGGGGAUAAGUAUCCCCGGAGCAAGAGCUACGCGCCUGUUUCCAAUCGGCUGGUCGUUUUCUAAUAAAAUUAAUUAAUAGUAUUUACUUUAUUCUGAUGAAUUUACAGCUGGCAUACUUCAAAAUUUAAAUUUUGGUGCUGCGGUUGUUGGGUUGU
rnacentral:lncRNA from 1 species